GCAGACACACUCCAGCCAAUCAGCAGCAGACCCUCCCUCCCAGACCCUCCCACCUCCUGGACAGCAUCCAUUUUACAUUCAUUGUGAAGCUGCAUUCUUAGUGAGCUGUCCAGGAGGUGGGAGGGUCUGGGAGGGAGGGUCUGCUGCUGAUUGGCUGGAAUGUGUCUG